GCCCUGAACUUCCCCAGCUCCCUGUACAACCAGUCCACCCCUCCCACUACCCAGUGGGGUUUCUAUGGGGGUGUGACCCCCGCCCUUCCCCCAGCUAAUUCCUUUACCGACAUCAGCAGGUUUCCCCUCCACCCUCCGUUCUGUUCUCGCUCAUUCCCUUGUU